rnacentral:rRNA from 1 species
UACGUAGGGGGCAAGCGUUGUCCGGAUUCACUGGGCGUAAAGCGCGCGCAGGCGGUGAUGUAAGUCUGAGGUGAAAACCCGAAGCUCAACUUCGGGACUGCCUUGGAUACUGCGUCACUUGAGGAUAGGAGAGGCAAGGGGAAUUCCACGUGUAGCGGUGAAAUGCGUAGAGAUGUGGAGGAACACCUGUGGCGAAGGCGCCUUGCUGGCCUAUUUCUGACGCUGAGGCGCGAAAGCGU